CACACACACACACACACACACACACACACACCUCUCUUUUUCUCACACACAUACACAGCUUCAUCUCUGUCUAUAAUCUAUCUGUCGCUCUGUCUGUCUUCUGUUUGUCUGUCUAUCUUUCUGUUUCAGAGACAUGCCAGGCCAGGGGUCAACCUCAAGAGAGUGUGUGGCCUGUCAUGCUAUCAUAAACGUAGCUUGCAAAACCUGCAAAAUAUGCAAGGCAGGACAGCCACAUAAAUUGAGGCUUAAAAAGAAACUUUAACUAAAUUUGAUGAGAAACGGGAGAGCUGGGUCCAAACAAACAAGAAAAACAGGACUGUAUCUCAUAUCCACGAUGAAGCAAAUAUAUUGCUUGAAAAACUGCAGGCCCUGGGUGUAAGGGCAAUGCUCUUUACAGCAAAACCUGGCAAAAAACCAAACACCUGGCUGUCCGAGGUGCUAGCGCCCCGUUGCCAAUUGACAGAGUACGCCACUACAUGUGUGGACAGAAUGAAGGACCUUUAUGGACUUCUUGUUCACGACUGGGUCCCACAAGAUGCUACAGAACAGUUGGAUGAACCCUCAUCAGCCCCAGUUGAACCACCAAUUGGACCAGUCGCUCCACCAGAUCCCCAGC